GACUUGGGAAAAAUAAAGGUGAUUGUACAAGUGAUGAUAGGAGUAUGUGGUGCCUAUGGCGUAGGGAGAUAGGUUCUCAGGAGCUGGUUAUUUUUGUUAGUAUCUUGCAGUUUAGUAAUGCAAGUGACCUAGGUGCAAAGUUCUGCUGGUAAUUCCCUUGGGGAGAGAAAUCUGAUGGUGAUUUUUAAAACAAGUUCCCAGAAAACAAUUUCAACAGAUGUUUUGAAACUGCAGUAGAGAUCACAAAACAGUUUACCUUGGCCAUAGAGCAGAAGUUUCUUGGUUUAUUCUCUGGAGGUCUCUAAGGAAGAGAGAAACUAAAGACUGCAUUAAAAUGUAUCAGCUUUUACAAAUAAUAAUGGCCACAUUUUUAAAGUCAUAAUUAUUGAGAAAUUUUAGCAUUAGAAAGAUAUUGUAAAUAUAAAGAAUUUUCAUUAAAUCUCUCUCUUUUUUUAAAGCAAGCCAGUUUAGGACUAAAAAUGUUCUCUUGGAGGUAACUAUAAAACAAGUAUUUACAAGGAGAGGGUCUCCAUUCUCCUACUCAUCCCUGCUGCUCUUCUCUGUACCUCUCCCACUUUUGAGUUCAUCUCUCCAGAUCACGGGUGUUCAGAACUGUUCAGCUGUCUCUCAUGACUCCAUGCGUUAGCAUUAAGAGAUGUUGCAGUACAAUAUCCAGACAUUAGCCCUGUUUAAGGAGUUUGCAAGAGCCUGAAUUUAUUGUUCUUUCAUUUAAGAAAAAAGUAAUAAAGGCUUUGUGAAUCUGAA